rnacentral:sRNA from 1 species
GUUUUCUAAACACUGACUAAUAUUUAGCUUUUCAUGCAUAAAUAUUUAGCUUUUUUUAUGUUUUUUGUUUAAUUUUAAACCACCUUAAUUGUUUUCAAUAUAUGUUAAUUUCUUAACAUUGAUCAAUAUUUAAUAAACAAAAUAAGUUUUACUGGCUUUUCUUAAACUAUAAAAAACAAAAAAAAAUAAAAUUAAGGUGGUUUAAUAUAAAACAAAAUCAUUUCUACUCGAAUAACAAUAUUUUAUAACGGCAAUUACACCUCAAAAUCUUCAAAACAUGGUGUAUGUCGGAAUCCUAGGUUUGAGGGUUCCUAGCAUGGCAGUGGGAGUAACCAUCACCAUUUUAGAAAACCUUGUUAAACAAAAAUUGAUUACUGUAUUUUUUUUUUUUUGCGAAGAACUACAUACGUUAGAAUAACAAUUAACAAGGCCGAGUAAAGAUUAUAGAAAUAUUAAAAUGUUUACAAUUUUCAUUG